AAUACAUGCAAGUAGAACGCUGACUACUUUAGCUUGCUAGAGUAGAAGGAGUUGCGAACGGGUGAGUAACGCGUAGGUAACCUGCCUACUAGCGGGGGAUAACUAUUGGAAACGAUAGCUAAUACCGCAUAACAGUGUUUAACACAUGUUAGAUGCUUGAAAGAUGCAAUUGCAUCACUAGUAGAUGGACCUGCGUUGUAUUAGCUAGUUGGUGGGGUAACGGCCCACCAAGGCGACGAUACAUAGCCGACCUGAGAGGGUGAUCGGCCACACUGGGACUGAGACACGGCCCAGACUCCUACGGGAGGCAGCAGUAGGGAAUCUUCGGCAAUGGGGGCAACCCUGACCGAGCAACGCCGCGUGAGUGAAGAAGGUUUUCGGAUCGUAAAGCUCUGUUGUAAGAGAAGAACGUGUGUGAGAGUGGAAAGUUCACACAGUGACGGUAACUUACCAGAAAGGGACGGCUAACUACGUGCCAGCAGCCGCGGUAAUACGUAGGUCCCGAGCGUUAUCCGGAUUUAUUGGGCGUAAAGCGAGCGCAGGCGGUUAGAUAAGUCUGGAGUAAAAGGCUAUGGCUCAACCAUAGUGUGCUCUGGAAACUGUUUAACUUGAGUGCAGGAGGGGAGAGUGGAAUUCCAUGUGUAGCGGUGAAAUGCGUAGAUAUAUGGAGGAACACCGGUGGCGAAAGCGGCUCUCUGGUCUGUAACUGACGCUGAGGCUC
rnacentral:rRNA from 1 species